rnacentral:rRNA from 1 species
GCAUAUCCAAUAAAGCGGAGGAAAAAGAAACUAACAAGGGCCUCGUAUCCUAGUAACCUGCAAGUGAAGCGGGAAUAAGCUCAAAUUUAAAAAUCUGGCGGUCUUUGGCCGUCCGAGUUGUAGUCUGGAGAAGUGUUUUCCGCGCUGGACCGUGUACAAGGUCUCUUGGAAUAGAGCGUCAUAGAGGGGUGAGAAUCCCGUCUUUGACACGGACUACCAGUGCUUUGUGAUGCGCUCUCAAAGAGUCGAGUUGUUUGGGAAUGCAGCUCAAAAUGGGAGGUAAAUUCCUUCUAAAGCUAAAUAUUGGCGAGAGACCGAUAGCGAACAAGUACCGUGAGGGAAAGAUGAAAAGCACUUUGGAAAGAGAGUUAAACAGUACGUGAAAUUGCUAAAAGGGAAACGCUUGAAGUCAGUCGCGUUGCUCGGAACUCAGCCCGGCUUCUGCUUGGUGCAUUUUCCGAGUGACGGGCCAGCAUCAAUUUUGACCGUCGGAUAAAGGUCUUGGGAAUGUGGCAUCUUCGGAUGUGUUAUAGCCCUUGGUCGCAUACGACGGUUGGGAUUGAGGAUCGCAGCAUGCCUUUACGGUCGGGGUUCGCCCACGUUCAUGCUUAGGAUGCUGGCGUAAUGGCUUUAAACGACCCGUCUUGAAACACGGACCAAGGAGUCUAACAUGCCUGCGAGUGUUUGGGUGGAAAACCCGAGCGCGUAAUGAAAGUGAUAGUUGGGAUCCCUGUCGUGGGGAGCACCGACGCCCGGACCAGAUGUUUUCGGACGGAUCCGCGGUAGAGCAUGUAUGUUGGGACCCGAAAGAUGGUGAACUAUGCCCUGAAUAGGGUGAAGCCAGAGGAAACUCUGGUGGAGGCUCGUAGCGAUUCUGACGUGCAAAAUCGAUCGUCAAAUUUGGGGUAUAGGGGGCGAAAGACUAAUCGAAACCAUCUAGUAGCUGGUUCCUGCCGAAGUUUCCCUCAGGAAC